CACGCCGUAAACGAUGAUCACUAACAGUAUGGAGAUUCGACCCUCUGUGUUGUAAAGCUAACGCGUUAAGUGAUCCGCCUGGGGAGUACGGGCGCAAGCUUAAAACUCAAAGGAAUUGACGGGGACCCGCACAAGCAGUGGAGGAUGUGGUUUAAUUCGACGCUAAGCGAAGAACCUUACCGAGGUUUGACAUCCCAGGAAAUCUAUGGAAACUAAGAUGUGCCUUCGGGAACCUGGUGACAGGUGCUGCAUGGCCGUCGUCAGCUCGUGUCGUGAGAUGUUGGGUUAAGUCCCGCAACGAGCGCAACCCUCGUCUUAAGUUACUAUGUCUUAAGAGACCGCCUGGGUUAACCAG
rnacentral:rRNA from 1 species